GUAGGUGGCAAGCGUUGUCCGGAAUUAUUGGGCGUAAAGCGCGCGCAGGCGGUUCUUUAAGUCUGAUGUGAAAGCCCACGGGCUCAACCGUGGAGGGUCAUUGGAAACUGGAGAACUUGAGUACAGAAGAGGAAAGCGGAAUUCCACGUGUAGCGGUGAAAUGCGUAGAGAUGUGGAGGAACACCAGUGGCGAAGGCGGCUUUCUGGUCUGUAACUGACGCUGAGGCGCGAAAGCGUGGGGAGCAAACAGGAUUAGAUACCCUGGUAGUCCACGCCGUAAACGAUGAGUGCUAAGUGUUAGGGGGUUUCCGCCCCUUAGCGCUGCAGCUAACGCAUUAAGCACUCCGCCUGGGGAGUACGGCCGCAAAGGCUG
rnacentral:rRNA from 1 species